rnacentral:rRNA from 1 species
GACGAACGCUGGCGGCGUGCCUAAUACAUGCAAGUUGAGCGCUGAAGGUUGGUACUUGUACCGACUGGAUGAGCAGCGAACGGGUGAGUAACGCGUGGGGAAUCUGCCUUUGAGCGGGGGACAACAUUUGGAAACGAAUGCUAAUACCGCAUAAAAACUUUAAACACAAGUUUUAAGUUUGAAAGAUGCAAUUGCAUCACUCAAAGAUGAUCCCGCGUUGUAUUAGCUAGUUGGUGAGGUAAAGGCUCACCAAGGCGAUGAUACAUAGCCGACCUGAGAGGGUGAUCGGCCACAUUGGGACUGAGACACGGCCCAAACUCCUACGGGAGGCAGCAGUAGGGAAUCUUCGGCAAUGGACGAAAGUCUGACCGAGCAACGCCGCGUGGGUGAAGAAGGUUUUCGGAUCGUAAAACUCUGUUGGUAGAGAAGAACGUUGGUGAGAGUGGAAAGCUCAUCAAGUGACGGUAACUACCCAGAAAGGGACGGCUAACUACGUG